UAAAACGUAGGAGCCAAGCGUUAUCCGAAUUCACUGGGCGUAAAGCGCGUGCAGGCGGUCUGGUAAGUUGGAUGUGAAAUCUCCUGGCUCAACUGGGAGAGGCCGUUCAAUACUGUCAGACUAGAGGGCGACAGAGGGAGGUAGAAUUCCCGGUGUAGUGGUGAAAUGCGUAGAUAUCGGGAAGAACACCAGUGGCGAAGGCGGCUCUCUGGCCUAGAACUGACGCUGAAGCGCGAAAGCGUGGGGAGCGAACGGGAUUAGAUACCCCGGUAGUCCACGCCGUAAACGUUGUAUACUAGGUGUUGGUGACUCUGUCAUCAGUGCCGACGCUAACGCAUUAAGUAUACC
rnacentral:rRNA from 1 species